UAAUGGGUGUGUGAGCUGUUUUUCAGGAAUUGGAACUCCUUGUCCACUUCAGGCAGGUUGAGACCACCAACUCAUCAACUGGGCCCAUCCAGAUGUCUAAUAGGCAACCUACUGACGUCAAGAGGCUAAAAACUCCACCCUCAGAUCAUGCUAACACCGCCACUGAAGAGGCAUGAAGUCUGACUACGUUUGUGCAGAUCAUUAAUUACCUCACCUCUCCUCACCUCCCAUCACUUCUCUCCACAUUUGAGACCACCUUGCCCUCUAUCCCAUAAAUAUCCCUGAGUCCCUAUUUUUGGGGAAGUGAAUUUGAGACUUAGACUCUCGCUUCCUCACGUGGCUGUCGUAUGAUUAAACCUUCUCUCUGCUGCAAUCUCGUCACCUCCGUGUUUGGCUUUCCGGGCAGCGGACAAAAACGAACCUGGUUCAGUAACAGAAACUUAUUGGGAAAAAUUAUGGACGUCAGAAGUAAGGCAGAGGAAAUGUUGAAGAAGGAAAAUUCGGAGAUAUUUUUUGGAAAUGGAGUCAGGUCUUUGAGAUUAUUUGGAUGUGGAUGUGAGGGAGAACUGACUAAAAUAACCACCAUAUUUCUGGCUUGAGAAUCUAGGUUAUGGUGGGCCAUUCAUUAAAAUAAGGAAUAGCGGGAGAAGAGCAGCUUCUGGUGGGAACAUGACUUCGAUAUGGGGCAAACAGCGGUUGGGAAGCGGAGUGGCUGGAGAUGCCUAACAGACAGCUGUUGUUCUAGAGCUCUGAAUUUGGUUUCUAUGCUUAGGCCGAGCAAGAAAACUCUCUCUGUAACUGAAGCCUGAAUCUCCAAAGAGCACCUUUCACUGAAAGCGCGCCCCUAAACCAGCACCUUGCUCUCUUGGCCAUUUGUGCACAUCUGCCUUACUGACGAUCGACCCCUGAAUUCUGGUGCUCACUGAAACCCAGGAAGGCUGGCCGCGAGAGCGCUGGACCCAAAGAUAAGAAAGCCCAGGCGACAAGAAGGAGGCCACCCCUGGAGAUUUAAACUAGACCUGGCCCCGCCCCGGCGCCGCCCACAACCAAUGGGGACUGCCUGGAGGCGGAGCCCUCUUAGCCCUGCGCCGCUGCCGCCCCCGCAGCCCCCGGGUCCCCGCAAAGUCGCGUCUACCGGUCAGGCUCUCCUUGGUUCAGACCAAUGGCGAUCCUCUUUCCUUAUUGGCCGUGAGGAAGGCCCGGCGGUCCAGUCCGCAGGCAUUUCGAAUCCACGUUCGAAUCAAGACGUAAAAGUGAACCUUGGACAUGGUCGUUUGAAUCCUAGGUUCAAAGCCUUGGAUUGAUGACCCAAGUUGGACCUGAUGCAGCAAGAAAAUAUUUACAGGAAAGAAAUAUUUAUGCAUCUUUUUGAGUAGGAAAGUUUAUGUCAAUGUGCCUUCCCUGGGACUCUGAAGCACCAUCUUGGUAGUGACAAUAGCUACCAACACAGCUGGAGAAAGCCUUGGGUUUCUACAAGAAGAGCAUAUGGAAGCACAACUAACCUCUUCACAGAAGAUUUUUCCCGAUUGAGUUUAGGUUCACAGACUCUGGCCAACUGGCACGUGUGACUUGUAGUCUGUUAAGCUCAAAUGAGAAGCUUUUCUCUUUUCUCCAUCCCCCAGAUAAUCCUAAAUGAAUUGGCUGGCAACUGCAAUAUAGAUCUGGAUUGUG